UACGGGGGGAGCAAGCGUUGUUCGGAUUUACUGGGCGUAAAGGGCGCGUAGGCGGCGCGACAAGUCACUUGUGAAAUCUCCGGGCUUAACCCGGAAAGGUCAACUGAUACUGUGCGACUAGAGUGCGGAAGGGGCAACUGGAAUUCUCGGUGUAGCGGUGAAAUGCGUAGAUAUCGAGAGGAACACCUGCGGCGAAGGCGGGUUGCUGGGCCGACACUGACGCUGAUGCGCGAAAGCCAGGGGAGCGAACGGG
rnacentral:rRNA from 1 species